GACGAACGCUGGCGGCGUGCUUAACACAUGCAAGUCGAGCGAUGAAGCUUCUUCGGAAGCGGAUUAGCGGCGGACGGGUGAGUAACACGUGGGCAACCUGCCUCAUAGAGGGGAAUAGCCUUCCGAAAGGAAGAUUAAUACCGCAUAAGAUUGUAAUAUCGCAUGAUAUAGCAAUUAAAGGAGUAAUCCGCUAUGAGAUGGACCCGCGUCGCAUUUGCUAGUUGGUGAGGUAACGGCUCACCAAGGCGACGAUGCGUAGCCGACCUGAGAGGGUGAUCGGCCACAUUGGGACUGAGACACGGCCAGACUCCUACGGGAGGCAGCAGUGGGGAAGAUUGCACAAUGGGGGAAACCCUGACGCAGCAACGCCGCGUGAGUGAUGACGGUCUUCGGAUUGUAAAGCUCUGUCUUCAGGGACGAUAAUGACGGUACCUGAGGAGGAAGCCACGGCUAACUACGUGCCAGCCGCCGCAGUAA
rnacentral:rRNA from 1 species